rnacentral:lncRNA from 1 species
UAUCGAUGUUGCUACCGAAAAGUUUAAAAAUCAGAGAAAAAGGAAGAAGAAGAUGAAUGUUGCACUGUUAAAAAAAGUGCACUAUUUUACAAGAAAAUUGCACUAUUUAAUAUGAACGUUGCAUUCUUUGAGAUGAAAAUUUUACUCUUUAAAAUAAAAGUUACACUCUUUUGACAAAAAUUAGACUAUUUCAGAAAAAUUGCAUUAUUCUCCGACCCUCAUCUCCUCCUCCUCUUUUUCUUCUUCUUCUUCGUCUUUCUUUGACACUUUCCUCUCCCUCCUCCUCUGAUCCCUAUACUCACCAACGCGAGACUGUCUACCUCGUGCGUCACAUCGGACUGCCGAAACACGAAAACGACCUACUGCUCUUUUCUUUUUUUUUUCUUCAUUUUUAUUCUCUCCGACCCUCUUCGCCUCCUCUACCGCUUCCACGGCCCUCGGCGACGGUAACAAGAGCGGCGCCACCUCCUCUUCCUCCGUCUCCUCCUCUGCUGGCACCGGUGGCCCUCGGCGACGGAAACGAGGGCGGCGCUGUCACGCCCCGAACUUGGUCCAAUUUGGCCGGUUCGGACCCGUCGAACAGACGCCGAACGGACAACACCUUCCCUGUCCGCCCAAGGCUCAAUAUCAA